AAUGAGGCGAACCGGGGGAACUGAAACAUCUAAGUACCCCGAGGAAAAGAAAUCAACCGAGAUUCCCCCAGUAGCGGCGAGCGAACGGGGAGCAGCCCAGAGCCUGAAUCAGUAUGUGUGUUAGUGGAAGCGUCUGGAAAGGCGCGCGAUACAGGGUGACAGCCCCGUACACAAAAAUGCACAUGCUGUGAGCUCGAUGAGUAGGGCGGGACACGUGGUAUCCUGUCUGAAUAUGGGGGGACCAUCCUCCAAGGCUAAAUACUCCUGACUGACCGAUAGUGAACCAGUACCGUGAGGGAAAGGCGAAAAGAACCCCGGCGAGGGGAGUGAAAAAGAACCUGAAACCGUGUACGUACAAGCAGUGGGAGCACGCUUAGGCGUGUGACUGCGUACCUUUUGUAUAAUGGGUCAGCGACUUAUAUUCUGUAGCAAGGUUAACCGAAUAGGGGAGCCGAAGGGAAACCGAGUCUUAACUGGGCGUUAAGUUGCAGGGUAUAGACCCGAAACCCGGUGAUCUAGCCAUGGGCAGGUUGAAGGUUGGGUAACACUAACUGGAGGACCGAACCGACUAAUGUUGAAAAAUUAGCGGAUGACUUGUGGCUGGGGGUGAAAGGCCAAUCAAACCGGGAGAUAGCUGGUUCUCCCCGAAAGCUAUUUAGGUAGCGCCUCGUGAAUUCAUCUCCGGGGGUAG
rnacentral:rRNA from 1 species